rnacentral:rRNA from 1 species
CCCUUAGAUGUUCUGGGCCGCACGCGUGCUACACUGAGUGGAUCAGCGGGUCAGGUUGCGCGAAAGCGUUUCCUAAUCUUUAAAUCCGCUCGUGAUGGGGAUUGACGGUUGCAAUUUUCUGUCAUGAACGAGGAAUACCUUGUAAGCGCGGGUCAUCAUCCCGCACUGAAUACGUCCCUGCCCUUUGUACACACCGCCCGUCGCUCCUACCGAUUGAGUGGUCCGGUGAGGCUUUGGGAUCUGAGCGGAAAGAGCGUUUCGCUGUUUCUGCUCGGAAAACUCAGUCGAACCUUAUCAUUUAGAGGAAGGAGAAGUCGUAACA